GACGAACGCUGGCGGCGUGCUUAACACAUGCAAGUCGAACGGUGAAGCUCCAGCUUGCUGGAGUGGAUCAGUAGCGAACGGGUGAGUAACACGUGAGCAACCUGCCCCUGACUCUGGAAUAAGCGCUGGAAACGGCGUCUAAUACUGGAUACGAGAAGGGUCCGCAUGGGCACUUUCUGGAAAGUUUUUCGGUUGGGGAUGGGCUCGCGGCCUAUCAGCUUGUUGGUGAGGUAAUGGCUCACCAAGGCGACGACGGGUAGCCGGCCUGAGAGGGCGACCGGCCACACUGGGACUGAGACACGGCCCAGACUCCUACGGGAGGCAGCAGUGGGGAAUAUUGCACAAUGGGCGAAAGCCUGGUGCAGCGACGCCGCGUGAGGGAUGACGGCCUUCGGGUUGUAAACCUCUUUCAGCAGGGAAGAAGCGAAAGUGACGGUACCUGCAGAAGAAGCACCGGCUAACUACGUG
rnacentral:rRNA from 1 species